rnacentral:tRNA from 1 species
GCCUCCGUCGCAUAGCGGCCAAUUGCACCGUACUUGUAAUACGGCACCCUCGCGAGUUCGAAUCUCGCCGGAGGCU